AACUUUUGGCAACGGAUCACUUGGCUCUCGCAUCGAUGAAGAACGCAGCGAGAUGCGAUACGUAAUGUGAAUUGCAGAAUUCAGUGAAUCAUCGAAUCUGUGAACGCACCUUGCGCCCCUUGGAAUUCCGAGGGGCACACCCGUUUGAGUGUCGUGAACAUCCUUCAACCUUUCUUGGUUUCUUAACCGGGGAAGGCUUGGACUUUGGGGGUCUUUCAUUGCUGGCCUCUUUGAAGCCAGCUCCUCCUAAAUGGAUUAGUGUGGUCUGCUUUGCCGAUCCUUGACGUGAUAAGAUGUUUCUACGUCUUGGGUUUCGCACUGUCGCUUUAGACCCCGCUUCUAACCGUCUUGCCUUCAAGACAGAGUUUUAAACCUUGACCUCAAAUCGGGUGAGACUACCCGCUGAACUUAAGCAUAUCAAUAAGCGGAGGCU
rnacentral:misc_RNA from 1 species